rnacentral:misc_RNA from 1 species
GAUGAAGAACGUAGCGAAAUGCGAUAAGUAGUGUGAAUUGCAGAAUUCAGUGAAUCAUCGAAUCUUUGAACACACAUUGCGCCCCUUGGUAUCCCGAGGGGCAUGCCUGUUCGAGCGUCAUUUCACCACUCAAGCCUGGCUUGGUGUUGGGCGACGUCCUCUUUGGGGACGCGCCUCGAAACGCUCGGCGGCGUGGCACCGGCUUUAAGCGUAGCAGAAUCUUUCGCUUUGGAAGUCGGGGCCCCGUCUGCCGGAAGACCUGCUCGCAAGGUUGACCUCGGAUCAGGCAGGGAUACCCGCUGAACUUAAGCAUAUCAAUAAGCGGAGGA